rnacentral:rRNA from 1 species
UACGUAGGGUGCAAGCGUUGUCCGGAAUUAUUGGGCGUAAAGGGCUCGUAGGCGGUCCAUCGCGUCGGGAGUGAAAAGCUGGGGCUUAACCCCAGUCCUGCUUUCGAUACGGGUGGACUAGAGGUAGGCAGGGGAGAACGGAAUUCCUGGUGUAGCGGUGAAAUGCGCAGAUAUCGGGAAGAACACCCGUGGCGAAGGCGGCUCUCUGGAACGCAACUGACGCUGAGACGCGAAAGCGUGGGGAGCAAACAGG